rnacentral:rRNA from 1 species
GGCCAGACUCCUACGGGAGGCAGCAGUGGGGAAUAUUGCACAAUGGGGGAAACCCUGAUGCAGCGACGCCGCGUGAGUGAAGAAGUAUUUCGGUAUGUAAAGCUCUAUCAGCAGGGAAGAAAAUGACGGUACCUGACUAAGAAGCCCCGGCUAACUACGUGCCAGCAGCCGCGGUAAUACGUAGGGGGCAAGCGUUAUCCGGAUUUACUGGGUGUAAAGGGAGCGUAGACGGCAAUACAAGUCGGAAGUGAAAUACCCGGGCUCAACCUGGGAACUGCUUUGGAAACUGUAUGGCUGGAGUGCUGGAGAGGUAAGCGGAAUUCCUAGUGUAGCGGUGAAAUGCGUAGAUAUUAGGAGGAACACCAGUGGCGAAGGCGGCUUACUGGACAGUAACUGACGUUGAGGCUCGAAAGCGUGGGGAGCAAACAGGAUUAGAUACCCCAGUA